rnacentral:rRNA from 1 species
UACGUAGGGCGCAAGCGUUGUCCGGAAUUAUUGGGCGUAAAGAGCUCGUAGGCGGCUUGUCACGUCGGAUGUGAAAGCCCCGAGGCUUAACCUCGGGUCUGCAUUCGAUACGGGGCUAGCUAGAGUGUGGUAGGGGGAGAUCGGAAUUCCUGGUGUAGCGGUGAAAAUGCGCAGAUAUCAGGAGGAACACCGGUGGCGAAGGCGGAUCUCUGGGCCAUUUACUGACGCUGAGGAGCGAAAAGCGUGGGGGAGCGAAACAGG